rnacentral:rRNA from 1 species
UACGGAUGAGGCAAGCGUUAUCCGGAAUUAUUGGGGGUAAAGCGUCCGUAGGUGGUUGACCAAGUAUGCUGUCAAAGGGUGGGGCUUAACCUCAUAAAGGCAGUGGAAACUGGCGAGCUAGAGUGCGGUAGGGGUAGGGGGAAUUCCCAGUGUAGCGGUGAAAUGCGUAGAGAUUGGGAAGAACAUCGGUGGCGAAAGCGCCCUGCUGGGCCUGCACUGACACUGAGGGACGAAAGCUAGGGGAGCGAAAGGG